GCUCAGCGGAGAAGCCGAAGGAGGGGGCGGAGGAAAAGUUCCCGUGACAACCUUCUGUUGGAGGAAAUAAAAGCAAACACUGGGCCUUCUGCGCUGCCUCCACCUCCACGCCCCCCCAACCCCCCCGCGCCUGCCGCCCGCCCGGAUUGCACGGAAAUAGCUUCUCCAGGCUCCCGGGCCGCCCCUUCGCGGUGACUCGCAGAAAGAGCUUCCUGAGCCAGGGCCGGUGGGAAACAAAGGAUGUGGGGAGCGGGCGGAAGGGGCCCACGUGGCUGCCGCCGGAUUCCUACUCCCUCCCCAGCCUCCACACGCGCCGCAGGGUCUAGGGCCUGAGUGCCAACCUGGGUAGGUGGGUAGGCUGGUGGAAGUCAUUCUGGCCACUGCCAGAGAUACCGCCUGCACCCGGGCAGCCCUGCCUGGUGGUGCGCAUGCAUUCAUUCCGUGUGAUUUGGAAGAGCAUCAAAGUUGCGCGUGAAACAACUUGGAAUCUGUCAUUUUUCUUUCUUGAGUGAACCAGGCAGCUGGCCACACCUCCUCUGGGGCUCCAGAGGAGACAGCCACUCCGCAUGGCUGCUGCGAUGUGCUCCCCAGAUCCCGCUGCCCAACUGGAGGAUCUGUUUCCCUGGCUGCUGGGAGUGCAUAUCAGGAGCUGUUUUGGAAAUUGCCUUGACUGAGAAGAGCCACUUUGCCGGAGGUCACACUCCCUUCCCAAGGGUCCACAUCCAGUGACUGCUGAUCAUGGAAGAAUAAAGGUCCCCUUGUCCCAACUUGGGCCACCUGUCCAAGGCAUCCCAGCUUCAGAGCUCCCAGAUUUAGGCCUUCCUAAAAUUGCAUCACAGCCCAGCUUUUUCCUCUGCCCAAUCCUGUUCCUUCCUCCCCCUCUUCCCACAGAAUCCUCUUGCAGGCUGGCCUGCAUCUCAGAGUCAGCUUCCUGGGGAGUUCAACCUGUGGCACCCCUUCUUCAUGGUCCGAGCUCACUCCAGGGACUCUGGCUUCUGGGAGCAGGUGAAACCACCUUUGUCCCUCCAGCCGUAGGGUGGCAGCAGCUUCCAGAUGUUGCUAAUCUCUGGGUGGCCCCCAGCACCAUGUUUUGUUCUGUUUUGUUUCUGCCCUUUCUAUGCCUUUGUAACUAGUUUUCUACAUAAAUUCUAUCCACU
rnacentral:lncRNA from 10 species